GACCAGACUCCUACGGGAGGCAGCAGUGGGGAAUAUUGCACAAUGGGGGAAACCCUGAUGCAGCGACGCCGCGUGAGUGAAGAAGUAUUUCGGUAUGUAAAGCUCUAUCAGCAGGGAAGAAGUUGACGGUACCUGAGUAAGAAGCCCCGGCUAACUACGUGCCAGCAGCCGCGGUAAUACGUAGGGGGCAAGCGUUAUCCGGAUUUACUGGGUGUAAAGGGAGCGUAGACGGCAGUGCAAGUCUGAAGUGAAAGCCCCGGGCUUAACCCGGGAACUGCUUUGGAAACUGUACGGCUGGAGUGCUGGAGAGGUAAGCGGAAUUCCUAGUGUAGCGGUGAAAUGCGUAGAUAUUAGGAGGAACACCAGUGGCGAAGGCGGCUUACUGGACAGUAACUGACGUUGAGGCUCGAAAGCGUGGGGAGCAAACAGGAUUAGAUACCCCCGUA
rnacentral:rRNA from 1 species